rnacentral:rRNA from 1 species
UACGUAGGUGGCAAGCGUUGUCCGGAAUUAUUGGGCGUAAAGCGCGCGCAGGCGGCCUCUUAAGUCUGAUGUGAAAGCCCCCGGCUCAACCGGGGAGGGCCAUUGGAAACUGGGAGGCUUGAGUAUAGGAGAGAAGAGUGGAAUUCCACGUGUAGCGGUGAAAUGCGUAGAGAUGUGGAGGAACACCAGUGGCGAAGGCGACUCUUUGGCCUAUAACUGACGCUGAGGCGCGAAAAGCGUGGGGAGCGAACAGG